AUACGGAGGGUGCAAGCGUUAUCCGGAUUUAUUGGGUUUAAAGGGUACGUAGGUGGCCAAUUAAGUCAGUGGUGAAAUCCUGCAGCUUAACUGUAGAACUGCCAUUGAUACUGGUUGGCUUGAGUAUAGUUGAAGUAGGCGGAAUGUGUAGUGUAGCGGUGAAAUGCUUAGAUAUUACACAGAACUCCUAUUGCGAAGGCAGCUUACUAAACUAUUACUGACGCUGAGGUACGAAAGCGUGGGGAGCGAACAGGAUUAGAUACCCUGGUAGUCCACGCCGUAAACGAUGCUCACUCGCUGUUUGCAAUACACCGCAAGCGGCUUAGCGAAAGCAUUAAGUGAGCCACCUGGGGAGUACGUUGGCAACAAUGAA
rnacentral:rRNA from 1 species